rnacentral:rRNA from 1 species
AUAUUGCACAAUGGGCGAAAGCCUGAUGCAGCAACGCCGCGUGAGUGAUGAAGGCCUUCGGGUUGUAAAGCUCUGUCUUCUGGGACGAUAAUGACGGUACCAGAGGAGGAAGCCACGGCUAACUACGUGCCAGCAGCCGCGGUAAUACGUAGGUGGCAAGCGUUGUCCGGAUUUACUGGGCGUAACGGAUGCGUAGGCGGAUACUUAAGUCAGAUGUGAAAAUCCCGGGCUUAACUUGGGAACUGCAUUUGAAACUGGGUAUUUAGAGUGCGGGAGAGNAAAGUGGUAUUCCUAGUGUAGCGGUGAAAUGCGUAGAGAUUAGGAAGAACACCAGUGGCGAAGGCGACUUUUUGGACCGUAACUGACGCUGAGGCAUGAAAGCGUGGGGAGCAAACA